rnacentral:rRNA from 1 species
GACGAACGCUGGCGGCGUGCUUAACACAUGCAAGUCGAACGGUAAGGCCCUUGCGUGGGUACACGAGUGUCGAAGGGGGGAGUAACACGUGAGUAACCUGCCCACAACUUUGGGAUAACGCUAGGAAACUGAAACUGAUACUAGAUAUGUGCUCCUGCUGCAUGGUGGGGGUUGGAAAGCUCCGGCGGUUUUGGAUGGACUCGCGGCCUAUCAGCUUGUUGGUGGGGUAGUGGCCUACCAAGGCGGCGACGGGUAGCCGGCCUGUGGGGGUGACCGGCGACACUGGGACUGAGAUAAGGCACCGACACCUACUGUAGGCCGCUGUGGGGAAUCUUGCCCAAUCGGCGCCAGCCUGAUGCAGAAACGCCGCGUGCGGGAUGACGGUCUUAGGGUUGUAAAACGAUUUCAGCAGGAACGAAGCUUUUUGUGACGGUACCUGCAGAAGAAGCACCGGCUAACUACGUG